UACGUAGGGGACAAGCGUUAUCCGGAUUUACUGGGUGUAAAGGGAGUGUAGACGGCAUGGCAAGUCAGAUGUGAAAGCUCGGGGCUCAACCCCGGAACUGCAUUUGAAACUGCUAAGCUUGAGUGCAGGAGAGGAAAGUGGAAUUCCUAGUGUAGCGGUGAAAUGCGUAGAUAUUAGGAAGAACACCAGUGGCGAAGGCGGCUUUCUGGACUGUAACUGACGUUGAGGCUCGAAAGCGUGGGGAG
rnacentral:rRNA from 1 species